GGAAUAUUGCACAAUGGGCGCAAGCCUGAUGCAGCGACGCCGCGUGAGCGAAGAAGUAUUUCGGUAUGUAAAGCUCUAUCAGCAGGGAAGAAAAUGACGGUACCUGACUAAGAAGCUCCGGCUAAAUACGUGCCAGCAGCCGCGGUAAUACGUAUGGAGCAAGCGUUAUCCGGAAUUACUGGGUGUAAAGGGAGCGUAGACGGAUCUGCAAGUCUGAUGUGAAAGGCGGGGGCUCAACUCCUGGACUGCAUUGGAAACUGUAGAUCUUGAGUGCCGGAGAGGUAAGCGGAAUUCCUAGUGUAGCGGUGAAAUGCGUAGAUAUUAGGAGGAACACCAGUGGCGAAGGCGGCUUACUGGACGGUAACUGACGUUGAGGCUCGAAAGCGUGGGGAGCAAACA
rnacentral:rRNA from 1 species